CGCAGAAACCCUCCCACCUUCCAGCUUCGCCAUGCUCUGUAAUUCCUUCUCUCAGGGUAACAUUCUUGUUAUGUAGAACACACAGGACAUCCUAUUAUGAUGAAUGACAACUUCCAUCGAUUGAGCAGCUCCCAUGCACCAAACACAGUGCUAGGCCUUUAGAAGCAUGGUCACAUUUCAUCAUUAUCAUCAUCCUUAGGGUGAAUUUGGACACAGAUAUGCACCUGGGGAUAAUGUCACGUGAAGAGAAAGACAGAGAUUGAAGUGAUGCAGCCGAGGAAUGUCAAAGAUUGCCAGCAAACCACCACAAACUAGAAGAGAAACAUGGAACAGAUUCUUGCAGCCCUCAGAAAGAACCAACCCUGCCAAUACCUUGAUCUCAG